CCUACGGGAGGCAGCAGUGGGGAAUAUUGGACAAUGGGGGCAAGCCUGAUCCAGCCAUGCCGCGUGUGUGAAGAAGGCGUUCGGGUUGUAAAGCACUUUCAGCGAGGAAGAACGCCUAGUGGUUAAUACCCAUUAGGAAAGACAUCACUCGCAGAAGAAGCACCGGCUAACUCCGUGCCAGCAGCCGCG
rnacentral:rRNA from 1 species